AUUGAACGCUGGCGGCAGGCUUAACACAUGCAAGUCGAGCGGAGAUGAGGUGCUUGCACCUUAUCUUAGCGGCGGACGGGUGAGUAAUGCUUAGGAAUCUGCCUAUUAGUGGGGGACAACAUUCCGAAAGGAAUGCUAAUACCGCAUACGCCCUACGGGGGAAAGCAGGGGAUCUUCGGACCCUGCGCUAAUAGAUGAGCCUAAGUCGGAUUAGCUAGUUGGUGGGGUAAAGGCCUACCAAGGCGAUGAUCUGUAGCGGGUCUGAGAGGAUGAUCCGCCACACUGGGACUGAGACACGGCCCAGACUCCUACGGGAGGCAGCAGUGGGGAAUAUUGGACAAUGGGCGGAAGCCUGAUCCAGCCAUGCCGCGUGUGUGAAGAAGGCCUUUUGGUUGUAAAGCACUUUAAGCGAGGAGGAGGCUACCUGGAUUAAUACUCUAGGAUAGUGGACGUUACUCGCAGAAUAAGCACCGGCUAACUCUGUGCCAGCCGCCGCGGUAACAC
rnacentral:rRNA from 1 species